AAUAGAGCUUUGCUCGUGAACCAAAUAUGGUGGGCUGGGUUGUCUUUGCGGAAACGCUUGGGCGACUUGUCUACGAAUUGUAAUCAUAAUAUGGGCGGCGGUGAAUCCUUUGCAGACGACUUGAAUGGGAACGGGGUACUGUAAGUGGUAGAGUAGCCUUGUUGCUACGAUCCACUGAGGUUAAGCCCUUGUUCUAAAGAUUUGUUCA
rnacentral:rRNA from 1 species